AUUGAACGCUGGCGGCAUGCCUUACACAUGCAAGUCGAACGGUAACAGGUUAAGCUGACGAGUGGCGAACGGGUGAGUAAUAUAUCGGAACGUGCCCAAUCGUGGGGGAUAACGCAGCGAAAGUUGUGCUAAUACCGCAUAAGAUCUACGGAUGAAAGCGGGGGAUCGCAAGACCUCGCGCGAGUGGAGCGGCCGAUAUCAGAUUAGCUAGUUGGUGGGGUAAAGGCCCACCAAGGCGACGAUCUGUAGCUGGUCUGAGAGGACGACCAGCCACACUGGGACUGAGACACGGCCCAGACUCCUACGGGAGGCAGCAGUGGGGAAUUUUUGGACAAUGGGCGCAAGCCUGAUCCAGCAAUGCCGCGUGCAGGAUGAAGGCCUUCGGGUUGUAAACUGCUUUUGUAC
rnacentral:rRNA from 1 species